rnacentral:lncRNA from 1 species
CAUCUGUUUGUGAAAAAAGAUCAAAAUCAUACCUCCAACUACUAAAAUAAUUUCUUAGGGAAAAAUAGAGAGGCAUUUGAAGAUCAACAAUUAGAAAUAAAGAGCUAGCUUGGAGCUUGUUCCAAAGACAUAAGGCUUGUUUUCAUAGGAUUUGAUUUGAUUUUGCAAUUGCUAUUCAAAAUCAAGGUUUAUAUUGCUGACUUAGGAUUUAUGUAAUAUAAUUAGGGCUAGUAUUCUCGGCUAAUUUGUGAAAUUGGUGUUACAUCUAUAGUUAAAAAUUUGA